CGCACAUUGCGCUCCCUGGUAUUCCGGGGAGCAUGCCUGUUCGAGCGUCAUUAUCAACCAUCAAGCCCUGCUUGGUAUUGGGUGUCGUCCCCUGGACGUGCCUUAAACACUUCGGCGGCGGUUUCAAACCUCAAGCGUAGUAGAAUCUUUUAUUUAGCUUUCUAGGUUUUGGGACUGCUUUGCCUCGAGAAAACCAAAUAACCUCAAGGUUGACCUCGGAUCAGGUAGGGAUACCCGCUGAACUUAA
rnacentral:misc_RNA from 1 species